UACGGCCUAGUAUUAGAUGUAUAGAAGUUUUUGAUAUUUCAGGGGGCAGUUUAAGUCUGCCGGGCGUAA
rnacentral:tRNA from 1 species